CUCAUGGUAGUGGUGGGGGAGGUUAAGAAAAUGUUUCCCUGAAGGGUGAUAAUUACAGGAACUGAGUUGUUUUUUUUUAAAGGCAGAGGAAAACCAGGAUGAAAAGAAGAGGAUGAAUUCAGAAAAUCGGGGUGCUCCUAAUGGGAGUCCAGGGCCCAUGAAGCUGCUCUAUCUUGGUGACUUGUCUGGA
rnacentral:lncRNA from 1 species